rnacentral:rRNA from 1 species
GCUGGCGGCGUGCCUAACACAUGCAAGUCGAGCGAGAACGCCUCCUUCGGGAGGUUAGUAAAGCGGCGAACGGGUGAGUAACACGUGAGCGAUCUACCCAAUGGCGGGGGAUAACCCAGGGAAACCUGAGCUAAUACCGCAUACAGCACUGGCUUGGAAGCCGGAUGUGAAAGCUGGCCUCUCGUUGAAGCUAGCACCAUUGGAUGAGCUCGCGGCCUAUCAGCUAGUUGGUGGGGUAACGGCCUACCAAGGCGAUGACGGGUAGCUGGCGUGAGAGCGUGGCCAGCCACACUGGGACUGAGACACGGCCCAGACUCCUACGGGAGGCAGCAGUGGGGAAUAUUGCGCAAUGGGCGAAAGCCUGACGCAGCGACGCCGCGUGGGGGAAGGAAGGCCUCAGGGUCGUAAACCCCUGUCAGGUGGGACGAACCACGGAUCGGUCAAUACCCGGUCCGCCUGACGGUACCACCAGAGGAAGCUCCGGCUAACUCCGUGCCAGCAGCCGCGGUAAUACGGAGGGAGCUAGCGUUGUUCGGAAUCACUGGGCGUAAAGGGCGCGUAGGCGGUCGGGUAAGUCGAGUGUGAAAUUCCGGGGCUCAACCCCGCGAACUGCAUUCGAUACUGCUC